UACGUAGGUGACAAGCGUUGUCCGGAUUUACUGGGCGUAAAGAGCGCGCAGGCGGUCGGAUCAGUCGAAUGUGGAAGCCCCCGGCUCAACUGGGGAGGGUCAUUCGAUACUGUCCGACUCGAAGGCAGGAGAGGGAAGCGGAAUUCCCGGUGUAGUGGUGAAAUGCGUAGAUAUCGGGAGGAACACCAGUGGCGAAGGCGGCUUUCUGGCCUGUUCUUGACGCUGAGGCGCGAAAGCUAGGGGAGCGAACGGG
rnacentral:rRNA from 1 species